AAACUUAUACUUCACAGGAUCAUUUCUGUAGUAUGUCUUCCUUUCUCUCUACUCAACAGUAGAAUAGAAACAAACCGCGAUGAUGAGGUAUAUGUCCUCUUCCCUGAGCGUGAGGCCGCUGGGCCCCCGCCGCGUGUUCCGAGUCGUAUGACCUGGGACCGCGCGCGCGCAGCAUCGAUGAUCGUUCCCUUCGCCCUCGCGGCGACGGGGUGGGGAAAUGGGCUGCCUGAGCGGU
rnacentral:snoRNA from 1 species